GUAUAUAGUUUAUAGGCACUAGGCCCAAUGAACAUUCUUUUACAUACAGGUGUAUAUGAAAAACAUAGACCUGAAAAUGUAAGGAAAGCCGGCGCAUAAAGGCACGGCAAUCCUCUGAACUGAGUUACCUCAGAAAGUUAUUCAGGACUACAAAAGGUGCACAGGUGGAGAUAUAAAGAUGACAAGUGUGCACAUGCCCCCGAGGGAGCCAGCAACAACCCAUCAGGUUUAUUCAAUAAUGAUCCUUCCGCAGGUUCACCUACGGAAA
rnacentral:misc_RNA from 1 species